rnacentral:rRNA from 1 species
AGAGUUUGAUCCUGGCUCAGGACGUAGGCGGUCGGCGUGCUUCACACAUGCAAGUCGAACGAUGAAGCCCAGCUUGCUGGUGUGGAUUAGUGGCGAACGGGUGAGUAACACGUGAGCAACCUGCCCUUGACUCUGGGAUAAGCGCUGGAAACGGCGUCUAAUACCGGAUACGACCUGCCCCGGCAUCGGGUGCGGGUGGAAAGUUUUUCGGUCAAGGAUGGACUCGCGGCCUAUCAGCUUGUUGGUGAGGUAAUGGCUCACCAAGGCGACGACGGGUAGCCGGCCUGAGAGGGUGACCGGCCACACUGGGACUGAGACACGGCCCACACUAAUACGGGAGGCAGCAGUGGGGAAUAUUGCACAAUGGGCGAAAGCCUGAUGCAGCAACGCCGCGUGGGGGAUGACGGCCUUCGGGUUGUAAACCUCUUUUAGUAGGGAAGAAGGACUUCGGUUUGACGGUACCUGCAGAAAAAGCACCGGCUAACUACGUGCCAGCAGCCGCGGUAAU